GAUGAAGAACGUAGCGAAAUGCGAUAAGUAAUGUGAAUUGCAGAAUUCAGUGAAUCAUCGAAUCUUUGAACGCACAUUGCGCCCGCCAGUAUUCUGGUGGGCAUGCCUGUUCGAGCGUCAUUUCAACCAUCAAGCCCCCGGCUUGUGUUGGGGACCUGCGGCUGCCGCAGGCCCUGAAAACCAGUGGCGGGCUCGCUAGUCACUCCGAGCGUAGUAAUACAUCUCGCUCAGGGCGUGCUGCGGGUUCCGGCCGUUAAAAAGCCUUAUUUACCCAAGGUUGACCUCGGAUCAGGUAGGAAGACCCGCUGAACUUAAGCAUAUCAAUAAGCGGAGGA
rnacentral:misc_RNA from 1 species